AUUGAACGCUGGCGGCAUGCCUUACACAUGCAAGUCGAACGGUAACGCGGGGCAACCUGGCGACGAGUGGCGAACGGGGGAGUAAUGUAUCGGAACGUGCCCAGUUGUGGGGGAUAACUGCUCGAAAGAGCAGCUAAUACCGCAUACGACCGGAGGGUGAAGGCGGGGGAUCGCAAGACCUGGCGCGAUUGGAGCGGCCGAUAUCAGAUUAGGUAGUUGGUGGGGUAAAGGCACACCAAGCGAAGGAGCGGUAGCUGGUCUGAGAGGACGACCAGCCACACUGGGACUGAGACACGGCCCAGACUCCUACGGGAGGCAGCAGUGGGGAAUUUUGGACAAUGGAGCAACCCUGAUCCAGCCAUUCCGCGUGAGUGAAGAAGGCCUUCGGGUUGUAAAGCUCUGUCGGCAGGAACGAAACGGCGAGCUCUAACAUGGCUUGCUAAUGACGGUACCUGAAGAAGAAGCACCGGCUAACUACGUGCCAGCCGCCGCCGUAAUAC
rnacentral:rRNA from 1 species